UGAGAAGCAAGCUGGGGCCACCUCACCUGAUGACAUGGUUGAUGACAAUUGGGUCAGGGGGCAAUAGCAGGGCUGUGAGGCGCUGGGGGAUCUCAGAAAACUUCAGCCGGGGACAAUCAAAAAUCUGAAGCAGGACAAUUGGGGAGAGAGAGAUCACUCUUCUUGAAGAGAUCAUCAUGCAGCUGUAGAUCCUUUUGUUCUGGAAAGGCCACAAGAAGCUGAGAGGAAGUCUGAUUCCUCAGUGCGCAUGGGGAUGGGAUUGGGGUGGGCUGGUCUGGUGGUGGAGCCACCGGUAUGGCUGACAAGGUAGGGGGUGGGUCAGUGUGGGGCAGGGGUUGAGAGUGCGGGCCCUGGGUCAGCCUGCUUAUGUAUCAGUCCUGCCUCUGCCACUUACUAUGCAACCUGGAGCAAGUUAACACCUCAGGGCUCAGUGUCUUCAUCUCUAGAGUGGGGAUGAAAAGAAUACCUAUCUCCCAGGGCUGCCGUGAGAAGUCAGUGAACUAAUACACAUAAAGUGCUUGGGACAGUGCCUGGCACAUGGUAAGUGCCCAAUAAAUAUCAACUGCUAUUUUUA
rnacentral:antisense_RNA from 1 species